UAAAACGUAGGAGGCGAGCGUUAUCCGGAUUCACUGGGCUUAAAGCGCGUGCAGGCGGUCUGAUAAGUCGGACGUGAAAUCUCCUGGCUCAACUGGGAGAGGCCGUUCGAUACUGCCAGACUAGAGGGCAGGAGAGGGAGGUGGAAUUCCGGGUGUAGCGGUGAAAUGCGUAGAUAUCCGGAGGAACACCUGUGGCGAAAGCGGCCUCCUGGUCUGCCCCUGACGCUCAGACGCGAAAGCUAGGGGAGCAAACGGGAUUAGAAACCCCGGUAGUCCUAGCUGUAAACUAUGCAGACUUGGUGUUGGCGGCUUAAACACCGUCAGUGCCGAAGCCAAAGCGAUAAGUCUGCCGCCUGGGGACUACGGCCGCAAGGUUA
rnacentral:rRNA from 1 species